UACGGAGGGGGCUAGCGUUGUUCGGAAUUACUGGGCGUAAAGCGCUCGUAGGCGGAUUGGUCAGUCAGAGGUGAAAGCCCAGGGCUCAACCUUGGAAUUGCCUUUGAUACUGCCAGUCUUGAGUUCAGGAGAGGUAAGCGGAAUUCCGAGUGUAGAGGUGAAAUUCGUAGAUAUUCGGAGGAACACCAGAGGCGAAGGCGGCUUACUGGACUGAUACUGACGCUGAGGAGCGAAAGCGUGGGGAGCAAACAGG
rnacentral:rRNA from 1 species